rnacentral:rRNA from 1 species
CAUCCCAGUUCGGAUUGCAGGCUGCAACCCGCCUGUAUGAAGUUGGAAUCGCUAGUAAUCGCGGAUCAGCAUGCCGCGGUGAAUACGUUCCCGGGCCUUGUACACACCGCCCGUCACACCAUGAGAGUCGGGAACACCCGAAGUCCGUAGCCUAACCGCAAGGAGGGCGCGGCCGAAGGUGGGUUCGAUAAUUGGGGGUGAAGUCGUAACAAGGUACC